UGUAAUGGAAAUUGAAUAGGCUUCUUUGC
rnacentral:piRNA from 1 species